rnacentral:rRNA from 1 species
GAGUUCGAUCCUGGCUCAGGACGAACGCUGGCGGCGUGCUUAACACAUGCAAGUCGAACGCUGAAGCCUAGCUUGCUGGGUGGAUGAGUGGCGAACGGGUGAGUAACACGUGAGUAACCUGCCCCCUUCUUUGGGAUAACGCCCGGAAACGGGUGCUAAUACUGGAUAUUCACUGAUCUUCGCAUGGGGGUUGGUGGAAAGGUUUUUUCUGGUGGGGGAUGGGCUCGCGGCCUAUCAGCUUGUUGGUGGGGUGAUGGCCUACCAAGGCUUUGACGGGUAGCCGGCCUGAGAGGGUGACCGGUCACAUUGGGACUGAGAUACGGCCCAGACUCCUACGG